rnacentral:rRNA from 1 species
UACGGAAGGCAGCAGUGGGGAAUAUUGCACAAUGGGCGCAAGCCUGAUGCAGCCAUGCCGCGUGUAUGAAGAAGGCCUUCGGGUUGUAAAGUACUUUCAGUCGUGAGGAAGGUGUUAAGGUUAAUAACCUUAGCAAUUGACGUUAGCGACAGAAGAAGCACCGGCUAACUCCGUGCCAGCAGCCGCGGUAAUACGGAGGGUGCGAGCGUUAAUCGGAAUUACUGGGCGUAAAAGGCACGCAGGCGGUUAAUUAAGUUGGAUGUGAAAUCCCCGGGCUUAACCUGGGAAUGGCAUUCAAGACUGGUUAGCUAGAGUCUUGUAGAGGGGGUAGAAUUCCAUGUGUAGCGGUGAAAUGCGUAGAGAUGUGGAGGAAUACCGGUGGCGAAGGCGGCCCCUGGACAAAGACUGACGCUCAUGUGCGAAAGCGUGGGGAGCAAACAGGGAUUAGAUACC